rnacentral:rRNA from 1 species
CACUUCUAAGGAAGGCAGCAGGCGCGCAAAUUACCCAAUCCUGACUCAGGGAGGUAGUGACAAGAAAUAACAAUAAACCGGCUUAUGCCGGUUUAAUUGGAAUGAGUACAAUUUAAACAUCUUAACGAGGAACAAUUGGAGGGCAAGUCUGGUGCCAGCAGCCGCGGUAAUUCCAGCUCCAAUAGCGUAUACUAAAGUUGUUGCAGUUAAAAAGCUCGUAGUUGGAUUUCUGUGGGGACGGAGCGGCCGGCCGCAACACGCGGUUCGAGCUAGCGCUUUCCCUACAUCCUGCCGCGAACCGUGCUACCAUUAAUUUGGUGGCGCCGGGGAUCGGCUCGAUUACUUUGAGAAAAAUAGAGUGUUCAAAGCAGGCCACAUGCCUUGAAUAAGUUAGCAUGGAAUAAUAACUAAGGACUUCGGUUCUAUUUUGUUGGUGUUCGGGACUGAAGUAAUGAUUGAUAGGGACAGUUGGGGCGGUCUGUAUUCCAAAGCGAGAGGUGAAAUUCUUAGACCUUCGGAAGACAAACAGCUGCGAAAGCGUUCCGCAAGGAUGUUCCCUUUGAUCAAGAACGAAAGUUGGGGGAUCGAAGACGAUCAGAUACCGUCGUAGUCUCAACUAUAAACUAUACCAGCUAGGGAUCGGCCAACGUUAUUUCAUACCGACUUGGUCGGCACCUUAUGAGAAAUCAAAGCAUCUGGGUUCCGGGGGGAGUAUGGUCGCAAGGCUGAAACUUAAAGGAAUUGACGGAAGGGCACCACCAGCCGUGGAGCCUGUGGCUUAAUUUGACUCAACACGGGAAAACUUACCAGGUCCAGACAUAGUAAGGAUUGACAGAUUGAUAGCUCUUUCUUGAUUCUGUGGGUGGUGGUGCAUGGCCGUUCUUAGUUGGUGGAGUGAUUUGUCAGGUUAAUUCCGUUAACGAACGAGACCCCAGCCUGCUAAAUAGCGCGCGUGAGCUUUGCUCGCGGCGAGCUUCUUAGAGGGACUAUGAUGCGCGAUAGCACAUGGAAGUUUGGGGCAAUAACAGGUCUGUGAUGCCCUUAGAUGUUCUGGGCCGCACACGGGCUACACUGGCGCCUGCAACGAGCAUAUCAGCUGGCCCGAGAGGGUCUUGGCUAAUCUUUUGAACCGGCGCCGUGCUUGGGAUUGACCUUUGCAAUUGUUGGUCAUGCAACGAGGAAUGCCUUGUAAACGCGAGUCAUCAGCUCGCAUUGAAUACGUCCCUGCCCUUUGUACACACCGCCCGUCGCUCCUACCGAUGAGUGUUCCGAUGAAAUUUUCGGAGAGCACCUGUGAACUUGGCUCUGCCUUGCGAACGGGAGGCUCAAAGUCACUUAAAUCUGAACAUUU